AAAUUACCCUGAGAGCAGAGAGAGGAUGUUGUGAUGAAGCUCCCCAAGCGAAGGUGUGUCCCUGGAGAUUGAAGCCGUGAUCCCAAACCCACAGCAUGCCUGAUUUUGGGCUGGCUGGUUCUUGCACUCAGUGCCAGAGGACUUCGGGCUCGCUGGUGCUCACAGUCUGCUCCUCUCCAAGGUAGGAGGACUUCUGCACUCAAGGAGCAGCAGUGAACCCUGAGAUAUGAAUGCACUGCAGCCCUUCUCAGAGAAGGCAGGCAAACAAUGAUGUGCUCUGAUCCAGACUCCAGGAUGUCUCAGGAAUAUGGGAAAAAUGCAAUUCUGCUAUUGGUGAAGAGCUUGGGAAUCUGUAGGAACUGACCAGGAGUGGCAAUGAGGAGGUGUUUUUAAGGGCUUAUUUUGCUUCUCGUUAUCCUCCUCUGAUUUUGUUAGCAACAAAAUUCACUUUGCAACUUGAGUGGAACCUGUUUUGCCCCUUGACAUAUUUCUCCUGGUACUUAUCUCACUCAUGAAGUGUUCAUUAAUUUUUUUUCCCCCUCUCCUCAGCUGUGACAGAGGAGGGUGAGAGAGCGACUCUAGUGGUGGGUGCCUGGCAUUGGGCCAGUGUAAAACCACAGCAAAAAGUCACUAAAAUUUCAACUCUUCUCCUGCCCUCUCUCUCCUUUCCUUUUUUUUUCUCCUAGAUAGAUUUGCUUCAGUUUCAGAAGCCUUGAAAAUCUUUGGGGGUUAAACUAAGGCAAGAACACACUCUGCAUCCAUUUUAAUGCCUCUUCAUGGCCCCACAACAAUGUCUAGUAUUGUUCUUCUUGGGCAAUCUGAGUUUCCUCUCUUAGUUUUAAGGGCCAAACAAAAGCAAAUCAUCUGGGCACAGCCUAGAGCAGGCAGAGGGGCCCAUGGGAGGCAGGAACUGUGGUUAGCACGGUUUGUACUGGCCAUGUGUGGCUGUUCCAGCUCAUGACCCUGCCGAGAGAUUGGGUAUCUUCACCUCCUCAUAUGAUAGACUUUAAAUUGGGUUUGCUCUUGGCUUUUUAUUCUUGCCAGUCCUUGGACGUGGUCUCAGUGAUGGUAUCCAGCCUUCUCUGGCUGACUUUGAUAUCGUGGCUCGCUUUUUCUUUCCCUCAUUGUUUAGUCUUGCUUCCUAGGACUAUCUCUGUAUAGCAGUAUAGAGAUAUGUGUAUUUGUUUGCUUUUUUUCUUCAAAAUUAAUAUUAUAACUGCAGAGUCUGUUACCCAGGAAAUGUUUGGAUCAUUUCACAGUGGAUAUCUGAAUCUUAUUAGUGGGUAGUGAAGGUUACAAAAUUCUCAUACUCUCUCCUAAAAAUAUUUGGGAGGAUUUUAUGAGUGCCUCUGCAAAAUCAUUUCAUUCUAUAUUCUGGCUA